rnacentral:rRNA from 1 species
AUUGAACGCUGGCGGCAGGCCUAACACAUGCAAGUCGAACGGUAACAGGAAGAAGCUUGCUUCUUUGCUGACGAGUGGCGGACGGGUGAGUCAUGUCUGGGAAACUGCCUGAUGGAGGGGGAUAACUACUGGAAACGGUAGCUAAUACCGCAUAACGUCGCAAGACCAAAGAGGGGGACCUUCGGGCCUCUUGGCAUCGGAUGUGCCCAGAUGGGAUUAGCUAGUAGGUGGGGUAUGGGCUCACCUAGGCGACGAUCGGUAGCUGGUCUGAGAGGAUGACCGGCCACGUUGGGCCGGAGAGACGGCCCAGACUAGUACGGGAGGCGGCGGUGGGGAGGAUUGCACAAGGGGACGGGGGCUGAGACAGACAAGCAGCGAUCGGGAUGACGGCCUGCGGGUUGUGAACCGCUUCCGCCUGUGACGAAGCGUGAGUGACGGUAAUGGGAAAAGAAGCACAGGCUAACUACGUG